rnacentral:rRNA from 1 species
UGCGUACUAUGAACAGCCGCCGCAGUAACACAUGCAAGUCGAACGAACCUUCGGGUUAGUGGCGGACGGGUGAGUAACGCGUGAGAAUCUGCCCUCAGGAGGGGGACAACAGCUGGAAACGGCUGCUAAUACCCCAUAUGCCGCGAGGUGAAAUGAAUUUCGCCUGAGGAUGAGCUCGCGUCUGAUUAGCUAGUUGGUGUAGGUAAUGGCUCACCAAGGCAUCGAUCAGUAGCUGGUCUGAGAGGAUGAUCAGCCACACUGGGACUGAGACACGGCCCAGACUCCUACGGGAGGCAGCAGUGGGGAAUUUUCCGCAAUGGGCGAAAGCCUGACGGAGCAACGCCGCGUGAGGGAUGAAGGCCUCUGGGCUGUAAACCUCUUUUAUCAAGGAAGAAGAUCUGACGGUACUUGAUGAAUAAGCCACGGCUAAUUCCGUGCCAGCAGCCGCAGUAAGAC